GGCGAACGGGUGAGUAACACGUGAGUAACCUGCCCCUGACUCUGGGAUAAGCGUUGGAAAGGACGUCUAAUACUGGAUAUGACUGCCGGCCGCAUGGUCUGGUGGUGGAAAGAUUUUUUGGUUGGGGAUGGACUCGCGGCCUAUCAGCUUGUUGGUGAGGUAAUGGGUCACCAAGGCGACGACGGGUAGCCGGCCUGAGAGGGUGACCGGCCACACUGGGACUGAGACACGGCCCACACUCCUACGGGAGGCAGCAGUGGGGAAUAUUGCACAAUGGGCGAAAGCCUGAUGCACCAACGCCGCGUGAGGGAUGACGGCCUUCGGGUUGUAAACCUCUUUUACUACGGAAGAAGCGAAAGUGACGGUACCUGCAGAAAAAGCACCGGCUAACUACGUGCCAGCAGCCGCGGUAAUACGUGGGUGCAAGCGUUGUCCGGAAUUAUUGGGCGUAAAGAGCUCGUAUGCGGUUUGUCGCGUCUGCUGUGAAAUCCCGAGGCUCAACCUCGGGCUUGCAGUGGGUACGGGCAGACUAUACUGCGGUAGGGGAGAUUGGAAUUCCUGGUGUAGCGGUGGAAUGCUCAGAUAUCAGGAGGAACACCGAUGGCGAAGGCAGAUCUCUGGGCCGUAACUGACGCUGAGGAGCGAAAGCGUGGGGAGCGAACAGGAUUAGAUACCCUGGUAGUCCACGCCGUAUACGUUGGGCGCUAGAUGUAUGGACCUUUCCACGGUUUGUGUGUCGUAGCUAACGCAUUACUCGCCCCGCCUGGGGAGUACGGCCGCAAGGCUAAAACUCAAAGGAAUUGACGGGGGCUCGCACAAGCGGCGGAGCAUGCGGAUUAAUUCGAUGCAACGCGAAGAACCUUACCAAGGCUUGACAUACACCGGAAACGGCCAGAGAUGGUCGCCCCCUUGUGGUCGGUGUACACGUGGUGCAUGGUUGUCGUCAGCUCGUGUCGUGAGAUGUUGGGUUAAGUCCCGCAACGAGCGCAACCCUCGUUUUAUGUUGCCAGCGCGUUAUGGCGGGGACUCAUAGGAGACUGCCGGGGUCAACUCGGAGGAAGGUGGGGAUGACGUCAAAUCAUCAUGCCCCUUAUGUCUUGGGCUUCACGCAUGCUACAAUGGCCGGUACAAAGGGCUGCGAUACCGUAAGGUGGAGCGAAUCCCAAAAAGCCGGUCUCAGUUCGGAUUGAGGUCUGCAACUCGACCUCAUGAAGUCGGAGUCGCUAGUAAUCGCAGAUCAGCAACGCUGCGGUGAAUACGUUCCCGGGCCUUGUACACACCGCCCGUCAAGUCACGAAAGUCGGUAACACCCGAAGCCGGUGGCCUAACCCUUGGGAAGG
rnacentral:rRNA from 1 species